UCCCUCAUAGCUCAAUUGGAUAGAGCACAACGCUACGGACGUUGGUGUUGUGGGUUCAAGUCCUACUGAGGGAGCCA
rnacentral:tRNA from 1 species